CAAGGUUUAUUCUUUGAUCUCCAAAGGUUUGCUUCAUUGAGUCUGAUAAUGGUGCAUGACGUGAAGAAUGUGAGCUAUACUCUAGUCUCACAUUACCUGGGUUUUACUUAGUCAUCAGUGUAAUUUAUCUAAGGGCAGCCUGCUGCUAAAAAAAGAGCUCAGCUUGAAGCCUUCUAGCUUACACAGCAGGAGUCUUCUAGAAAUUUUGCCACUGGAUCGAAGUCUAAGACUAGAAGUAAAGAGGAAAUUCCUUUCACUUUAGUUUGAAGAAACAGAUGAGACUCUGGACAAAGACUGCAAGCAAAGGAAGAACCAGUCACUUCACACAGAGCAUGGGAGUUUUGGCAUCACCAGUUAUCCUUUAGGCAUGGAAGAGCUUUCCAUCAUUACUCCAAUGUCUAACUACCACUGUCGCUUCAAAAAAGCCUCUCAAGUUCCAGUGAAGAAGCAAGUAACAGCAUGGGUAUUUUAGCUCACAUAUAAAAUGAAACAAACCAGAGCGAGAGAAAGAGAAUCCUGUUUCAGUACAGAUAACCUUGGUAAGUAAAAGUGUCAGAACGUUAAUACUCACUUGUUCUUUGAUGCACAAGUGUUACCAAGUCCACUGAUCACUGCAUGACAGACCAAUAGAUGGAGAGUUGAGGUGUUGGGACAAGGAAUAAUGACUUUAUUCAGAAAGCCAGCAGACUAAGAGGAUGGCAGACUAGUGUCCCAAAGAACCAUCUUACCCAAGUUAGAAUUCAGGCUUCUUUUAUACUAAAAAGGGAGGGGGCGUGGCUAUUGUUGCAAAAUGUUUUGGUGCAGGACUCUUUUAUUCUUCUAGCUCUCCGCAUAGGUCUGGGC
rnacentral:lncRNA from 1 species